rnacentral:tRNA from 1 species
GGGGGAGAAGGCCAGAAAUCGAGCAGAAUCAAAGCCUGACCCUGCCCUUGGUAAGGGUGGGGUCGGGUGUUCAAUUCACCCCGGCGGCACCA